AUGAAGUUCCUACUAGGAAUGACACUCCCAGUUCUAUUUCGGAGGCCUAUGCAUCGGAAGAUGCUGACUACUGGAAGGAAGCGGUUCGUAGAUGCAAAUGGGUAUUCAAGAAGAAGCUUAGGCCUGAUAGUACUAUUGAAAAGUACAAGGCUCGGCCCGUGGCAAAAGGUUAUACCCAAAAGGAAGGUGAAGACUUCUUUGAUACUUACUCACCUGUGGCUCGACUGA
rnacentral:rRNA from 1 species